rnacentral:rRNA from 1 species
CGUAGGCGGCUUAGCAAGUCAGAUGUGAAAGCCCCGGGCUUAACUCGGGAAUUGCAUCUGAAACUGCUUUGCUUGAGUCCUGGAGGGGGUAGUGGAAUUCCCAGUGUAGCGGUGAAAUGCGUAGAUAUUGGGAGGAACACCUGCGGCGAAGGCGGCUACCUGGACAGUGACUGACGCUGAGGCGCGAAAGCUAGGGGAGCGAACGGGAUUAGAUACCCCGGUAGUCCUAGCCGUAAACGAUGGGCACUUGGUGUUGGGGGUAUUGAGUCCCCCGGUGCCGGAGUUAACACGUUAAGUGCCCCGCCUGGGGAGUACGGUCGCAAGACUGAA